AUUGAACGCUGGCGGCAGGCCUAACACAUGCAAGUCGAACGGUAACAGGAAACAGCUUGCUGUUUCGCUGACGAGUGGCGGACGGGUGAGUAAUGUCUGGGAAACUGCCUGAUGGAGGGGGAUAACUACUGGAAACGGUAGCUAAUACCGCAUAACGACGCAAGACCAAAGAGGGGGACCUUCGGGCCUCUUGCCAUCGGAUUGGCCCAGAUGGGAUUAGCUUGUUGGUGGGGUAACGGCUCACCAAGGCGACGAUCCCUAGCUGGUCUGAGAGGAUGACCAGCCACACUGGAACUGAGACACGGUCCAGACUCCUACGGGAGGCAGCAGUGGGGAAUAUUGCACAAUGGGCGCAAGCCUGAUGCAGCCAUGCCGCGUGUAUGAAGAAGGCCUUCGGGUUGUAAAGUACUUUCAGCGGGGAGGAAGGGAGUAAAGUUAAUACCUUUACUCAUUGACGUUACCCGCAGAAGAAGCACCGGCUAACUCCGUGCCAGCAGCCGCAGUAA
rnacentral:rRNA from 1 species